AAUCAACGCUGGCGGCGUGCCUAACACAUGCAAGUCGAACGAGAAGGUGUAGCAAUACAUGAGUACAGUGGCGACCGGGUGAGUAACACGUGACUAACCUACCUUCUUGUGGGGAAUAACCUUCCGAAAGGAGGGCUAAUACCGCAUAACAUCGCGAGGUGAGAUUCCUUGUGAUCAAAGGAGUGAUUCGCAGGAAGAGGGGGUCGCGGCUGAUUAGCUAGUUGGUGAGGUAACGGCUCACCAAGGCAGUGAUCAGUAUCCGGCCUGAGAGGGCGCACGGACACACUGGAACUGAAACACGGUCCAGACUCCUACGGGAGGCAGCAGUGGGGAAUCUUGCGCAAUGGGGGAAACCCUGACGCAGCAACGCCGCGUGGAGGACGAAGGUCUUUGGAUUGUAAACUCCUUUCGAUCGGGACGAUGAUGACGGUACCGGAAGAAGAAGCACCGGCUAACUCUGUGCCAGCCGCCGCGGUAACAC
rnacentral:rRNA from 1 species